rnacentral:rRNA from 1 species
GGGCCAGACUCCUACGGGAGGCAGCAGUGGGGAAUAUUGGGCAAUGGGCGCAAGCCUGACCCAGCAACGCCGCGUGAAGGAAGAAGGCUUUCGGGUUGUAAACUUCUUUUAUUGAGGACGAAACAAAUGACGGUACUCAAUGAAUAAGCCACGGCUAACUACGUGCCAGCAGCCGCGGUAAUACGGAGGAUGCGAGCGUUAUCCGGAUUUAUUGGGUUUAAAGGGUGCGUAGGCGGAUCGUUAAGUCAGUGGUAAAUUUGGGGGGCCCACCCCCUCCCCGCCAUUGAAACUGGCGCUCUUGAGUGGAAGAGAAGUAUGCGGAAUGCGUGGUGUAGCGGUGAAAUGCAUAGAUAUCACGCAGAACCCCGAUUGCGAAGGCAGCAUGCCGGCUUCCGACUGACGCUGAAGCACGAAAGCGUGGGGAUCGAACAGGAUUAGAUACCCGAGUA